AAAAGAUAGCUGUCGCCCAUCACCUACCCUCAGGGUCUGGCCAUGGCCCGAGAGAUCGGUGCUGUGAAGUAUCUGGAAUGCUCCGCUCUGACUCAGCGCGGUCUAAAGACUGUAUUUGACGAGGCCAUCCGCGCCGUCCUCUGCCCUCCGCCCGUCAAAAAACGCGGCAAGCGCUGCACUCUCUUCUGAGUAAACGCCACAACAAUUCCUGGCACUCCACACAAAGCUACAAUAUUUUUAAUCAGCCUCUUGGAAAAUAUAUUGUACUACUCUCACAGGUUCGGUGACAGCCGUCCAUCAAGUUCUAAUGCACAUUACAUGAAUAUGAAUCCAGUCGGAGGGAAACCUUGUGGUAGAUGGCGUUUGUUUUUUCGCGGCCUCACACGCCCAGAGACGUAAUAUUCCAUUUCAAAUCGCUUAUAAGAGAAGUUUUAGUGGUACGGUGUAAUUGUUGACAUACUGUAUUUCUUGGUUUCUUGGUGUUGUAAAGGAAGCGUGUCAAAGAAAGGGGAAAGUGCUGUCUUGUAUAAAGCUAACCAUUCGGCAUUGCAGAAUUGCAGAUGGCGUUAAAGUCAACAUGAAAUGACAUUCGUGACACAUUUUACAUUCGCAGUGAGUAAAACAG